GAAAUGCGAUAAGUAAUGUGAAUUGCAGAAUUCAGUGAAUCAGCGAAUCUUUGAACGCACAUUGCGCCCGCCAGUAUUCUGGCGGGCAUGCCUGUUCGAGCGUCAUUUCAACCAUCAAGCCCCCGGGCUUGUGUUGGGGACCUGCGGCUGCCGCAGGCCCCGAAAACCAGUGGCGGGCUCGCUGUCACACCGGGCGUAGUAGAUUUUUCGUCUCGCCCAGGGCGUGCUGCGGGUUCCGGCCGUUAAAAAGCCUCUCUUUUUAACCCAAGGUUGACCUCGGAUCAGGUAGGAAGACCCGCUGAACUUAAGC
rnacentral:misc_RNA from 1 species